GGCAAUGGGGGCAGAGAGGCAGGCAAGUCUGGGCUCCGCCAGGGAGCUCCAGGCCUGGCGCGCGGCUGUGGGUGCCACGCGGGGACUGGGGUGCAGUGGAGACUGUCCGCGCGCGGCUCCAACUCGAGAGCGAGGGUCGCUCGGGAAAACCACAGAUGAUGGUGCUGGAUCAUCGCUAGUUAAAGUGCUGGAUAUGCCCAAGGUCACAUGGCCUAAGAAAAACUGCUCUCCCUUCCAAGGACCCAGCAGUCUUUAGACCAGCUCAAGUCUCCGUCCUGAAACUCGAGUCUGAGUUUCACUGGUCUGGAAACACUCAGCAGCAAACACCAGCCCCUCACGACAGAGUUGCAGCUUACUCUCUGGAUCCACGAUGCUCAGGACUUUCUUUAGCACCAGUGAAUGGCUGGCACUCAGGCCUGAGUUCCAGCAAGUACCGCGGGCGGUGACUGCACCACUGUAACAGACGGAAUUGAUGGGAAAAUGCCUACUUCCCCAAGGACCCUGAGUGGCUCUUGCUGCCCUGACUGCGCCCUGGGAGUUGUCUUCAGGGUCCCUCAGAAGCCCUCACAAUCUACAACUACAAGAGAAACUCUUGCUUCAGCAAGGCAUAUUGGAAUUUAUGCCAGUGACCAUCCUGAGUGGCCCGGGGAGUGGUUGGACAGCUGGGUGGAUUUUGGAGUCCCAAUCCUGGAGAGCAAGUCUCGAUUCUUGUUCUCCACACGUCACCGGAAAGCAUCCAGGCUCAGCGCACUUCUCCGUUCCUCGCUGCUUCUUACCUUACUUCUGAUCACGAGCUCCCUUCUGUUUUGAAUUCCUUGGAGCCCGUCUCCCUUCAUUGGACAUACAACUGUAUGCAAUCUCAGUUUUGAUACAACUUUCCCAGCUUGUGAUGUAUAUUUCUCUAGUUUUCUUUGAACCCCCCCAGUGUGAAACAUAUCUAAUACAACGUUUUGUACUCUUCAUGACACAUAGCUGUCGGGGAUUCAAAUCACAAGAUAGAAUGUAAUACGCCCCGGGGAGUGGGUGGACCCCAUAUACCCUUGAAACAGAAGGAUGUUGCUGAGAUGGUCCAGUGCCUUACCCUGUCACUCAGAUGCUCAGUCAGAAAAUAAAAGCUCUGGUUGAACUGGC
rnacentral:lncRNA from 1 species